AGCCGCAUCUCACGGAGGGCCGCCACGAGCCCGCAGGGGGACGUGGGGCACCCCAGCUCGCUCUGCCAGCGCAGCAGCAUCCUGUGGUGCUGCUCCAACAGGGUCCCCGGGUCCCUGUGCUCACAGAUGACAAGGUCGUUCUCCUCCAGUUCCGGCGAACCUCAUGAACAUCCUCCAGCUAGAUUUGGGAACCUCCUGCCCGAAUUCAAAGUAGAUCCUGUUCGUGGUGAGAACACAGGCUGAGA